CUUAACAGUUGUUGGGUACAGCCAAUUGAAGUAGUGGAAAUUUCUAUUCAACUUAUAAAUAGUUGAAGAGCCUGUCUUGGUGAAAUGCGAAACGAGCAAAUAUUCCAUUUUCUCCUGGGAGGGUGGAUCAGGAAUCGGCGUAUGAUGCUGUCACGUCAGCUGUGUCAAGGCUGUUGUUCAUGAGGACACACAGCUAUAAGUUAUUCAUGGGAACAUAACAAAUGAAGAUUUAGCCUUAGCAAAUAAUGAGCAUUCUUCUCCCGGAGCUUGCUCUUCAGCUAGUAAGCUGAGGCAUGUGGAGUCAUCCUGUCAGAAGUAGGAAUGGACCUCACAUUCUUUAGGGUUAGAGUACUUUGCAAAUACAAAAAAUGAUGCACCGAGCAAAUUCAAGGAAGCUCUGGGAACUUUAUGCUCUCCCUGGGGACAUGGUGGCAGGGCGGGGGGCGGGGGGGGUGGCAGUGGCGGUGGUGGUUCUUUUUUCUUUUCUAGGGAAAGCAGAGAAGAUACUCUCAGUGGUGAUCAUGUUUCUAUCCUGGUUGAAUAUCAGGAUAUCCAUUCUAUGCUGAGUGCUGUGCUCAUCACUUUGGAGGAUACACAAAAGAGUGAGGCACCAAGACAACAGGUGAAGCAAGAAGAAAUGAUAUCAUACCCACCUACUCUUUCCUAAAUUGUGUAGUUUGGAGAGCAUCAGUGUUGUAAGGAGGUUGGAGAGAGAUCAGGAGAGAGAUGGAGAAAAUGUAAGCUAAAUUUUGAAGGCUAAGAAGAUUUAUAUAGGUGUAGAUGGGUGUCAGAGAUCAUGAUUCACAGGUUUCAUGACUUAGAAUUAAUUAGAUUCUCUUUCUAUUAUCUGAGCUGUAUUACAUUCUCUCAUUUAACCAGCAUUAUCUAAAAUAUAGAGAUAAUUGCAUUUAGCUUGAAAGAGAGAUUCAAAAGAAACAAGAGGGAUGCUCCCCUAUCUGAUCAAACUGAGCAACAGAACAUACAUCCAUUAAGCUACUAGAUAACGAAUACAAAGAAAAGGUCUUUGGUUUUAUCUCUGUUUUAACUCCAUGGUUAUGUGGACCAUAUGGCUCUAAACUUCCUAACAUUUCUCUACUCAUAAAUUAAAACGUUCUAUAUAGUAGGCCAAAUAGGUUUUGGACAAUCCAAAGACCUUUUACAGGGUUCACUUGGAGGCAGUGUUUGACAGGUAAGUUUGUCAAUUUUGCUUUCAUCUGACUUGUUGAAAACGAAACUUUAUAAAGCCAUAGACUGGUCCAGCUACAAUGUUCUACAGAUUAUGUUUUAAUUCAUGUAAAGACAGAUUUUUGUAAAGAUCUAUGAUCCUUUUAUUUUUGAUAUUAAACUUUAUUUUGUUCUUGUUGGUUAAUUAUUUCUAUCUGCAAAACACACAUUAGGCAUUUUAAAUGAAUGACUUUAUGGAGUUAUUUAUGCAAAACAUCUUAAUCCAGACUUGCCUA
rnacentral:lncRNA from 12 species